AUGGCUUUCUAUAGAUUUGGGUGGACAGCAAGAGGAGUCGGGAAGGAGAGAAGGAACGCAAGGAAGAAGAAAACAUGCAGUGUUUCUCCCUUUUUCUUUAUUCUCUGUGCUGUGGUGGGCUCAACAGUCGAACUUUUUCUCCUUGUUGCAAGAUGGAGGAAUCAGUCGACCCUACACACCGGAGCAAAAACGAUAGCGAUUCAAAGCAUUUCACUGCUGCUGGUGACGGUGCAGACGGGUUCGCUGCUGGUGCUGCAGGCCAUCGAAGGGAAUGAUAUGAGCAUGGCCGGUCAAUCAAUGGAGUCGUCUUUAGGGAAAUCAAGGAUUUUGCUUGAUUGA
rnacentral:rRNA from 1 species